CGCGUGGGAACGUACCUUUUGGUUCGGAACAACACAGGGAAACUUGUGCUAAUACCGGAUAAGCCCUUACGGGGAAAGAUUUAUCGCCGAAAGAUCGGCCCGCGUCUGAUUAGCUAGUUGGUGGGGUAACGGCUCACCAAGGCGACGAUCAGUAGCUGGUCUGAGAGGAUGAUCAGCCACAUUGGGACUGAGAUACGGCCCAGACUCCUACGGGAGGCAGCAGUGGGGAAUAUUGCACAAUGGGCGGAAGCCUGAUGCAGCAACGCCGCGUGCGGGAUGACGGCCUCGGUUGUAACCGAC
rnacentral:rRNA from 1 species